rnacentral:lncRNA from 1 species
GUAUUUUAUCAUGGCAGCCCAGACAGACCGAAAUAACAGCACUGACCCUGAGUGUCGUGAGGCUGACAUGAGUCAACCUUGAACCAAAAACCAAAUCAAUCAACGGAGGUGGGUGGUGGCUUGUGUGUGUGUUGCUUGUUUUAACAGGUGAGGGUAAGUGGCUUGCUCGGGGUCCCACAGAUACUCACGGGCAGGGCUGGGACCUGAAUCUGGGUCUGUUUGACCUCCAGUCCUGGGCCUUUCCACUGGGUGGCAUUACCUCCUUUUAAUGAUGCAAUUUCCUAAACAUACCAGAAAGAGACAAACCCUUCCCCCAAAGAACUGACAGUGGCUGAAUUUCCCAGUGAAGGUAACACGGCCAUAGCUGCGUGUGCUGCAGUGCCGGGUGGUGAGUUCCUUCUUGUGUGUGCGUGUGGGGUUUUGUUUUUAAUGUAGUUUUCCUCUUCCUCGCUGCCUUUUACAACCUAACAUGAUUAGUGCCCUGGAAGGUAGAGCUCAUUAGAGAUGCCGAAUCUGGAAGACUGUCUGGAAUAUCAAGCGUCUGAAACAAAGUGAGUGAGUCCUUCAGAACUUCUCUUCAAAUCAGCAGAGCCUGGCCUCAUUAAUUAUUAACUGCACUGUGACCUAAAUAAGUCACAGGAUCAUACUUCAUUUAAACGCUGCUUGUCACCCACAGUGCUCAUCUGGUCCUCUAAACGGUUCGAGCGCAAAGGAAAGAAGACGUUGUCUUUUAAGUGCAAUUAUAACUACAGGAAUUAACACAGCCCACCCUUAACUGGCUGAAAUGCCUCCAUUCUCCAUCAAACGCUGAUGCCAUGGUGAGCCCCACUGUCAGCAGGAAGAGAAUAGUUGGAGCAUGUGUAACAAGGUAGCUAAAAAUGACAUUUCUCUAAUAAAUAUCAUUGUAUUAUGCAGUGUCCAUCUGCGACUGCU